CAGGUGUUCAGAGAAAGUGUGGGAAACCCAUAUUUCUGCAUUGUCAUUCGAACACAGAAAACACAGGAGGAAAAUGAGCUGUCACUCCAAUUCCCAUGAUGCCUUGCUGCUUAGCAUAACUCUACAGUGCGGCCCUGGGUCCACUGGUCCAUAUUCUGACAGAUAAUUAAGAAAGCAGCAGCUUUUUCUAGACGGCUCUUCCUCAUGAUUUGCAUUUUAGCCAGAGGCGACCAGUUAUAAAAAAAACAUGAUGGAAAGAUGGUAAGAAGCCAAUUAGAUGGAUGGAUGGCUGACUGACAGCUCUCUGGUAUUACGACUCCAGAUUUCAGACUACAUAGCCUGGCAGUUUUCUACAAGAACCAACUUUUUUGCAGCUCCAACCCUGGAGGGGUCAGAGGACUAACUGGGGCCAACAGCCACCAGCAGGGUACCAAGAAGCACAAGCGAAGAAAGAAGGCAGAUAACUCAUCUACCUUCAACAUGGUCUCCAGAAUGAAAGAAGUUCAAAGUUUUGGCUCUUACUGAGGAUUAGAUUUUUCAGUUAGUGAAAUGAAGCUUGUUAUUGGAACUAAAAAUUAACAUUUGUUUUCUGCAACAGCAAAAAAGCUAUAGAUACUAGUUAAAAUUGUCUAGGUUUCUUUGGUCAGGUUCCUAGAAGCAGAGCUUAAGACAGGAUUCUUGUUUAAGUGAUUUUUGAUGAGAUCUCUCAGAAGAAAGUGAUUGGGGAAAAUGGAAUGGGGAAACAAAAAGCUAAGCAGAGAAUGGUCUCUGCUGGAAAGCAAAUUCAGUCUUUAGUCUGGUUCCACAGAGAAAUUCUGGAGCAAAUUGCAGCACAGCAUUGGACCCACCCCCACCCACUGGUUGAAUCCUAUGGGAAGGUGGGCAGGGUGGGAGUGGGAAGUUUGCCAUGCAUGGCCUGCAGGGAUAAAGUGGCAGGUCUGUAUGGACACUGACGGAACCCAUUAUAUGGGAAUAGCCAUGAGGAAGAAUUUGUCUCACAGAAUAAAUUUGAACAUGGAAAAAAGUAAAACUGCAUUCUGAUCGAAUCUAACUAGCCUCAUUCAUGCAGUAACAAUUUCAGUUACAAUUACUCAUCCUUAAUUUAUCUAAAGUUGUAAGUUUCUGUUCUUUGAAAUCAAAGAUUGCCUGGAACAAAAUUGGGACAUUACAUAAGGAUCUUUCUAUCUCCAGCAAACGGGACUGGGGAAAUCAGAAGAUAUUCUGUGUAUAUUGGUGCCACAAGUAAAAAAAUGAAUACAGCA